UUAAAUUGAAGAGUUUGAUCAUGGCUCAGAUUGAACGCUGGCGGCAGGCCUAACACAUGCAAGUCGAACGGUAACAGGAAGCAGCUUGCUGUUUCGCUGACGAGUGGCGGACGGGUGAGUAAUGUCUGGGAAACUGCCUGAUGGAGGGGGAUAACUACUGGAAACGGUAGCUAAUACCGCAUAACGUCGCAAGACCAAAGAGGGGGACCUUCGGGCCUCUUGCCAUCGGAUGUGCCCAGAUGGGAUUAGCUAGUAGGUGGGGUAACGGCUCACCUAGGCGACGAUCCCUAGCUGGUCUGAGAGGAUGACCAGCCACACUGGAACUGAGACACGGUCCAGACUCCUACGGGAGGCAGCAGUGGGGAAUAUUGCACAAUGGGCGCAAGCCUGAUGCAGCCAUGCCGCGUGUAUGAAGAAGGCCUUCGGGUUGUAAAGUACUUUCAGCGGGGAGGAAGGGAGUAAAGUUAAUACCUUUGCUCAUUGACGUUACCCGCAGAAGAAGCACCGGCUAACUCCGUGCCAGCAGCCGCGGUAAUACGGAGGGUGCAAGCGUUAAUCGGAAUUACUGGGCGUAAAGCGCACGCAGGCGGUUUGUUAAGUCAGAUGUGAAAUCCCCGGGCUCAACCUGGGAACUGCAUCUGAUACUGGCAAGCUUGAGUCUCGUAGAGGGGGGUAGAAUUCCAGGUGUAGCGGUGAAAUGCGUAGAGAUCUGGAGGAAUACCGGUGGCGAAGGCGGCCCCCUGGACGAAGACUGACGCUCAGGUGCGAAAGCGUGGGGAGCAAACAGGAUUAGAUACCCUGGUAGUCCACGCCGUAAACGAUGUCGACUUGGAGGUUGUGCCCUUGAGGCGUGGCUUCCGGAGCUAACGCGUUAAGUCGACCGCCUGGGGAGUACGGCCGCAAGGUUAAAACUCAAAUGAAUUGACGGGGGCCCGCACAAGCGGUGGAGCAUGUGGUUUAAUUCGAUGCAACGCGAAGAACCUUACCUGGUCUUGACAUCCACGGAAGUUUUCAGAGAUGAGAAUGUGCCUUCGGGAACUGUGAGACAGGUGCUGCAUGGCUGUCGUCAGCUCGUGUUGUGAAAUGUUGGGUUAAGUCCCGCAACGAGCGCAACCCUUAUCCUUUGUUGCCAGCGGUCCGGCCGGGAACUCAAAGGAGACUGCCAGUGAUAAACUGGAGGAAGGUGAGGAUGACGUCAAGUCAUCAUGGCCCUUACGACCAGGGCUACACACGUGCUACAAUGGCGCAUACAAAGAGAAGCGACCUCGCGAGAGCAAGCGGACCUCAUAAAGUGCGUCGUAGUCCGGAUUGGAGUCUGCAACUCGACUCCAUGAAGUCGGAAUCGCUAGUAAUCGUGGAUCAGAAUGCCACGGUGAAUACGUUCCCGGGCCUUGUACACACCGCCCGUCACACCAUGGGAGUGGGUUGCAAAAGAAGUAGGUAGCUUAACCUUCGGGAGGGCGCUUACCACUUUGUGAUUCAUGACUGGGGUGAAGUCGUAACAAGGUAACCGUAGGGGAACCUGCGGUUGGAUCACCUCCUUACCUUAAAGAAGC
rnacentral:rRNA from 1 species